UCCAGCCAUGCCGCGUGUGUGAAGAAGGUCUUCGGAUUGUAAAGCACUUUAAGUUGGGAGGAAGGGCAGUAAGUUAAUACCUUGCUGUUUUGACGUUACCAACAGAAUAAGCACCGGCUAACUUCGUGCCAGCAGCCGCGGUAAUACGAAGGGUGCAAGCGUUAAUCGGAAUUACUGGGCGUAAAGCGCG
rnacentral:rRNA from 1 species